AAACAGAAAAGGCAAACUUAUUGAAAAAUAAGGACGCAAAACUACAGAUCUAAAGUUUUAACUAUGAUGGCUGAGUUGCCUAA
rnacentral:ncRNA from 1 species